rnacentral:misc_RNA from 1 species
CAGCAUACCACUGGUGCAUGCAAGCACACCUUCAAUCACGCAGAGACGUCACAAUAGAAGGAUCUCCCCUCUCCUUUCCCACACGGCGAGAGGCAUGCGCGGAUCGGCAUCGACAGCAACAGCGGCGUCUACCCUCCUCCCCCCCCCCACACCCACCCACCCACGAUUGCAUGGUAGGCAUUACGGCGUUGACGCGGCGCUUUUCUGUGUGCUCUUAUGCGUGGCAUUCGUGAGAGCGGCCCCGCCCCCACCCCUCACUACCCCUACCACUAGCACUGCUACUACCAUUACCACCACCUCACACUCCACCCUUCUGUCCUCCCGCUCCUCUCCGCCUCACAACCGCCGUGGAGCUCAGUCGUCAUUGCCUUCUAUUUUUUCCUCUUCGUUUCGCUAUUGGUGCUGGUUCCGUCUUCCACACCACACCGUACUCGGGGCCGCGGCGGCGCGCCUCCACCGUUCUCUCGCUCCGUGUUCUUCCACGAUCCUUUUUACGUGCCCACGUAUGCGCUUCAAGGCGACCCUCAAGGACGCUAAGGGCCUGCUUGGUGUUUUGCAGGUGUGCCGCAGUAUUCAACGUGACUGCAUCGUGCGCCUGCAGUCGGAGCGCAUCCGCUUCUUCUCGAACACGAACGCCGCAGAUGGGGUGCAGGUGUGGAUGCGAUGCCAGUCGUCGUUUCUCUUCUCCGAUAUGGUCUGCGACUCCGGCUAUGAUGAGCACUCCAUCACGUGCGAAGUACUCGACCUCGCACAGCUCAUCCACAUUGUAAAGCAAGCAGAGGCGCGCGAGCGAUCCCACCAGGGGACCACCUCACGUGUGCAGAUGCGGCUGGCGCGCAACGGACGGUAUCCAUUGUGGCGGGUAGCCAUGCAGGGGCUCUCUGGUCAGCCAGACGUCAGUUUUGACGUGCCGUUGCGCAUCCUCGGGGACCGUGAAAUCCAGAGUCUGUCCCCGCCGCCGCUAGAGAAGCAGCACCUGCAGAUUCUGGUGCCAGACAUGCUAGAACUCACCACCUUCAUUGACAAACUGAAGAACACGGCAGCCGAUAGCGUCACCUUCUCGGCGCGCGUGCUGAUGCCGCCGACGCCGCGGCGCGGCGCAGAGGACGGCGAGGCCGAGGACGCCGAUGGUGGUGCGGAGGUGCGUCGAGGGGUGAAGCGGCCGCGCGUCAAGGACACGCUACCGCUGGCGAGCCUUCUCAUCUACGCCGAGCACUUCAUGGCGCGCUUCUCUCUCAAGUACGAGGCGGUCGAACUGGUGGAGCAUCCGGAGAGGGAGGACGAUGAUGAAGGUGACGAUGAUGACGGCGAUGCCGUGAAUGACGUUCGCAUCGCUACUGUCAUGGUCGAGACGCGGAAGUUCGCACGCUUCUUUUCGGCUGUGAAGGAGCUGGAUCCGAUGAAGAUGAGCAUGUACUUGGUGGACCGUCGAGCACUCGUGCUUAGCGUGUUCGCAGUUGGGAACACCGCGAUGGUGGCCUAUAUCCCCGCAAGGGUGUAGCGGGCUCUAGAUGCAGGAAGCUGGAGGAGAGCGCACAUGCGCCUGCGCGCGUGCUUACCAUCAAGGCGCGAUCCAGACAGCGUGGCAGCGCCUCACUGCUGCUGCUUCUAUUGUAUCCUCGCCUCCUCUGCGCACGUCGAGAAACUGAAUGGCAGCCAACGUCCGCAACGAGCAUGUCGAGGUGAGAUGGAGACGCAGUGGUGCAGUCGCGCUGAUGGUGACAUCCUGCGCGAAGGUACACCGCAAAGGACACGCACGUCAGUCGACGCCCCUCCUUCCACACGAUUGCAGCCUUCACUUAUCGGGGCGAGUUCUCCACAUGAAGACACACAGACACCAGUCCCUUCAGAGUUGCGUCUGCU